UACAAGAUAUUUACAAUAAGCAGACCUCAGUGCAAGAAAGUGUCGUUCCAACACUGAAAAGGUCAAAGGUCAACUUUAACAUUAAAAGGUGUUCAAACAAGUACAAGAUAUUUACAAUAAGCAGACCUCAGUGCAAGAAAGUGUCGUUCCAACACUGAAAAGGUCAAAGGUGAACUUUAACAUUAAAAGGUGUUCAAACAAGUACAAGAUAUUUACAAUAAGCAGACCUCAGUGCCAGAAAGUGUCUUUCCAACACAGAAAAGGUCAAAGGUCAACUUUAACAUUAAAAGGUGUAAAAACAAGUACAAGAUAUUUACAAUAAGCAGACCUCAGUGCAAGAAAGUGUCUUUCCAACACUGAAAAGCACAAAGGUCAACUUUAACAUUAAAAGGUGUAAAAACAAGUACAAGAUAUUGACAAUAAGCAGACCUCAGUGCAAGAAAGUGUCUUUCCAACACUGAAAAGGUCAAAGGUCAACUUUAACAGUAAAAG
ensembl:lncRNA